UAUGUCGGCAGCAAGCGUUGUUCGGAAUUACUGGGCGUAAAGGGUGCGUAGGCGGUGCUCUAAGUUUGGUGUGAAAUCUCCCGGCUUAACUGGGAGGGUGCGCCGAAAACUGGAGCGCUGGAGUGCGGGAGAGGAAAGCGGAAUUCCUGGUGUAGCGGUGGAAUGCGUAGAGAUCAGGAGGAACACCUGCGGUGUAGACGGCUUUCUGGACCGUAACUGACGCUGAGGCACGAAAGCGUGGGUAGCAAACAGG
rnacentral:rRNA from 1 species